UACAGAGGGUGCAAACGUUAUCCGGAGUUACUGGGCGUAAAGGGCGUGCAGGCGGUCGACUAAGUCUGGCGUGAAAGCUCUCGGCUAAACCGGGAGAGGUCGUUGGAUACUGGUUGACUAGAGGACGGUAGAGGCGUGUGGAAUUCCGGGUGUAGUGGUGAAAUGCGUAGAUAUCAGUCGGAACACCGGUGGCGAAGGCGGCUUCUUGGGCCUUAACUGACGCUGAGGCGCGAAAGCUGGGGGAGCGAACGGG
rnacentral:rRNA from 1 species